GAGCAGAGGGACGUCAGUGGGGUUACUCGCGGUCACAAACGUCGGCAACCACAGUCAGCCGUGAGACACAGACCGAGGCGGUUUGACGGGUCAUGUCUGAUCGUGUGUGGAAGAGGAGGAUGAAGGACUACCUGAACUCUCACAACCCCAAGUGGAAUUGGCAGAGGUGCAGUGAGUGAUUACAUUGGAGCGGGGAAUAGCACUCUGGAGAAACGUGUGAGAAGCAGCGAUGACACUCCGCAGAUGUUACUGAGCCAGCAGAACCUUGAAACGGAAGAAGCAAUAGUCAUUGUUAAAGGGCUGUUUGGCCCCCCCAAAAUUAAAACAAUUAUGAUGUU